ensembl:lncRNA
GGGGAAGGAGUGCCUGGUGGCGCGGCGGGAGGAGACGCGGCUGAGGCCCCGCGGCCGGGACGAGGCCGCCCACUACUGCACCAUCUGUGAGGUGGAGGUGUUCAACCUGCUGCAGCGAGCUGCAGAGCAGGAAGCAGUGCGUGGUCCACUGCCAGGACUGCGCCCGCAAGGGCAGCGCCACGCUGGACAGCUUCACCGUGCUGGAGCAGCACCGCGCCGAGGACCUCAUGGCCGUCUCACGACCAGUUCUCCCUGACCACGCCCACCACUUACGGCGCCGCCGCCCCCCCGCCGCCCGCCCACGGCAGCGGGCGGAGUCUUUUGGAAGGAAAAGACGAAAAAUAAACGGAGAAGAAAAUAAAAAAAAAUAAAAAAGAGGAGACAUUUAAUUAAAUUAAAAACGUACACGGACCAUUUCUGAUAUUCAGGAAAAGCCAAGGCCGUUCCCCCUCCUCCCCUCCUAGCCACCGCCACCCCUGCCCCCCGUCUCCGCCCGCCUGGUCUCCAUGGCGACAGGUCAGAGCCCAAGUGUCUGUCUAUGCAAUGUGUCUCAAAGUGCUGGCUGCUGCCCUCCCAUUGGCCGAGGGAGGGACAAGGGGGGCGGGGUGAGGGGCGCGGCAUUCUGUGCACUAAACGCCCCCUCCCCUUCCCAACACAGGACUUUAUAAAUAUAGUUUUCUUAUUUUUAUUUCUUCGUUUCACCCCACACAACCCCC